rnacentral:rRNA from 1 species
GUGAACGCUGACGGUAGGCCUAACACAUGCAAGUCGAACGGCAGCACAGUAAGAGCUUGCUCUUACGGGUGGCGAGUGGCGGACGGGUGAGGAAUACAUCGGAAUCUACUUUUUCGUGGGGAUAACGUAGGGAAACUUACGCUAAUACCGCAUACGACCUACGGGUGAAAGCAGGGGAUCUUCGGACCUUGCGCGAUUGAAUGAGCCGAUGUCGGAUUAGCUAGUUGGCGGGGUAAAGGCCCACCAAGGCGACGAUCCGUAGCUGGUCUGAGAGGAUGAUCAGCCACACUGGAACUGAGACACGGUCCAGACUCCUACGGGAGGCAGCAGUGGGGAAUAUUGGACAAUGGGCGCAAGCCUGAUCCAGCCAUACCGCGUGGGUGAAGAAGGCCUUCGGGUUGUAAAGCCCUUUUGUUGGGAAAGAAAAGCAGCAGGUUAAUACCCCGCUGUUCUGACGGUACCCAAAGAAUAAGCACCGGCUAACUUCGUG